UAUUUCUUCAUUUCAGUUAUUAUGUAUAAUCCCUGACGUUUUUUCUAGUGAUUAUACAUAAUCCUUGAAAAUUUUAGUGAUUAUAUAUAAUCCCUAAACUGGCCAGUGAUUCUACAUAAUCCCUGAACAUUUCAGGGAUUCUACAUAAUCACUGAUUAUACAAAUUCACUGUAACAUAUACACGUUACUCAAUCGCACCAUUCCUCAUACACAAUUACACCAUUCCCCGUACACCAUACAUCAUAGCACAAUGAAUCUUUUACCAUUGCACCAUAUGUCAUUCCCUAUUUCACCAUACACGUUGAUUUGCAAGUUUACACCAUCCAUCGGCUGUAUAAAAAAGACACUUUUAUCCCUUGAAAUUAAUACAGAAAAUCAAAAAUAAUAAAAUAAGACUAUUUAUUUUGAUCUAAACGAUUCAUUCGUCUGGCACAUCUAUUUGAAUGUUACCCUUCCGGAGCACCUGAGAUCACCG
rnacentral:lncRNA from 1 species